UUGAACGCUGGCGGCAUGCUUUACACAUGCAAGUCGAACGGCAGCACGGGGGCAACCCUGGUGGCGAGUGGCGAACGGGUGAGUAAUAUAUCGGAACAUGUCCGGAAGUGGGGGAUAACGUAGCGAAAGUUACGCUAAUACCGCAUAUGCCCUGAGGGGGAAAGGGGGGGAUCGCAAGACCUCUCGCUUUCGGAGUGGCCGAUAUCGGAUUAGCUAGUUGGUGAGGUAAAGGCUCACCAAGGCGACGAUCCGUAGCUGGUCUGAGAGGACGACCAGCCACACUGGGACUGAGACACGGCCCAGACUCCUACGGGAGGCAGCAGUGGGGAAUUUUGGACAAUGGGGGCAACCCUGAUCCAGCCAUUCCGCGUGAGUGAAGAAGGCCUUCGGGUUGUAAAGCUCUUUCGGCAGGAACGAAACGGUGUGGGCCAAUACCCUGCAUCAAUGACGGUACCUGAAGAAGAAGCACCGGCUAACUACGU
rnacentral:rRNA from 1 species